rnacentral:rRNA from 1 species
UAAUGCCAAGUCGGAGCGGAUGACGAGGGAGCUUGCUCCUCAGAUUCAGCGGCGGACGGGUGAGUAACACGUGGGCAACCUGCCUGUAAGACUGGGAUAACUUCGGGAAACCGGAGCUAAUACCGGAUAACUCUUCGGACCACAUGGACUGAAGAUAAAAGAUGGUUCUGCUAUCACUUACAGAUGGGCCCGCGGCGCAUUAGCUAGUUGGUGAGGUAACGGCUCACCAAGGCGACGAUGCGUAGCCGACCUGAGAGGGUGAUCGGCCACACUGGGACUGAGACACGGCCCAGACUCCUACGGGAGGCAGCAGUAGGGAAUCUUCCGCAAUGGACGAAAGUCUGACGGAGCAACGCCGCGUGAGCGAUGAAGGCCUUCGGGUCGUAAAGCUCUGUUGUUAGGGAAGAACAAGUAUCAGUUAACUGCUGGUACCUUGACGGUACCUAACGAGAAAGCCACGGCUAACUACGUGCCAGCAGCCGCGGUAAUACGUAGGUGGCAAGCGUUGUCCGGAUUUAUUGGGCGUAAAGCGCGCACAGGCGGUUCUUUAAGUCUGAUGUGAAAGCCCACGGCUCAACCGUGGAGGGUCAUUGGAAACUGGGGAACUUGAGUGCAGAAGAGGAUAGCGGAAUUCCACGUGUAGCGGUGAAAUGCGUAGAGAUGUGGAGGGAACACCAGUGGCGAAGGCGGGCUCUCUGGUCUGUAA